rnacentral:rRNA from 1 species
UAAGCGACUAAGCGUACACGGUGGAUGCCCUGGCAGUCAGAGGCGAUGAAGGACGUGCUAAUCUGCGAUAAGCGUCGGUGAGGUGAUAUGAACCGUUAUAACCGGCGAUUUCCGAAUGGGGAAACCCAGUGUGUUUCGACACACUAUCAUUAACUGAAUCCAUAGGUUAAUGAGGCGAACCGGGGAACUGAAACAUCUAAGUACCCCGAGGAAAAGAAAUACAACCGAGAUUCCCCCAGUAGCGGCGAGCGAACGGGGAGGAGCCCAGAGCCUGAAUCAGUGUGUGUGUUAGUGGAAGCGUCUGGAAAGGCGUGCGAUACAGGGUGACAGCCCCGUACACAAAAAUGCACAUAUUGUGAGCUCGAUGAGUAGGGCGGGACACGUGGUAUCCUGUCUGAAUAUGGGGGGACCAUCCUCCAAGGCUAAAUACUCCUGACUGACCGAUAGUGAACCAGUACCGUGAGGGAAAGGCGAAAAGAACCCCGGCGAGGGGAGUGAAAAAGAACCUGAAACCGUGUACGUACAAGCAGUGGGAGCCUCUUAAUGGGGUGACUGCGUACCUUUUGUAUAAUGGGUCAGCGACUUAUAUUCUGUAGCAAGGUUAACCGAAUAGGGGAGCCGAAGGGAAACCGAGUCUUAACUGGGCGUUAAGUUGCAGGGUAUAGACCCGAAACCCGGUGAUCUAGCCAUGGGCAGGUUGAAGGUUGGGUAACACUAACUGGAGGACCGAACCGACUAAUGUUGAAAAAUUAGCGGAUGACUUGUGGCUGGGGGUGAAAGGCCAAUCAAACCGGGAGAUAGCUGGUUCUCCCCGAAAGCUAUUUAGGUAGCGCCUCGUGAAUUCAUCUCCGGGGGUAGAGCACUGUUUCGGCAAGGGGGUCAUCCCGACUUACCAACCCGAUGCAAACUGCGAAUACCGGAGAAUGUUAUCACGGGAGACACACGGCGGGUGCUAACGUCCGUCGUGAAGAGGGAAACAACCCAGACCGCCAGCUAAGGUCCCAAAGUCAUGGUUAAGUGGGAAACGAUGUGGGAAGGCCCAGACAGCCAGGAUGUUGGCUUAGAAGCAGCCAUCAUUUAAAGAAAGCGUAAUAGCUCACUGGUCGAGUCGGCCUGCGCGGAAGAUGUAACGGGGCUAAACCAUGCACCGAAGCUGCGGCAGCGACACUAUGUGUUGUUGGGUAGGGGAGCGUUCUGUAAGCCUGUGAAGGUGGCCUGUGAGGGUUGCUGGAGGUAUCAGAAGUGCGAAUGCUGACAUAAGUAACGAUAAAGCGGGUGAAAAGCCCGCUCGCCGGAAGACCAAGGGUUCCUGUCCAACGUUAAUCGGGGCAGGGUGAGUCGACCCCUAAGGCGAGGCCGAAAGGCGUAGUCGAUGGGAAACAGGUUAAUAUUCCUGUACUUGGUGUUACUGCGAAGGGGGGACGGAGAAGGCUAUGUUGGCCGGGCGACGGUUGUCCCGGUUUAAGCGUGUAGGCUGGUUUUCCAGGCAAAUCCGGAAAACCAAGGCUGAGGCGUGAUGACGAGGCACUACGGUGCUGAAGUGACAAAUGCCCUGCUUCCAGGAAAAGCCUCUAAGCAUCAGGUAACAUCAAAUCGUACCCCAAACCGACACAGGUGGUCAGGUAGAGAAUACCAAGGCGCUUGAGAGAACUCGGGUGAAGGAACUAGGCAAAAUGGUGCCGUAACUUCGGGAGAAGGCACGCUGAUAUGUAGGUGAAGCGACUUGCUCGUGGAGCUGAAAUCAGUCGAAGAUACCAGCUGGCUGCAACUGUUUAUUAAAAACACAGCACUGUGCAAACACGAAAGUGGACGUAUACGGUGUGACGCCUGCCCGGUGCCGGAAGGUUAAUUGAUGGGGUUAGCGGCAACGCGAAGCUCUUGAUCGAAGCCCCGGUAAACGGCGGCCGUAACUAUAACGGUCCUAAGGUAGCGAAAUUCCUUGUCGGGUAAGUUCCGACCUGCACGAAUGGCGUAAUGAUGGCCAGGCUGUCUCCACCCGAGACUCAGUGAAAUUGAACUCGCUGUGAAGAUGCAGUGUACCCGCGGCAAGACGGAAAGACCCCGUGAACCUUUACUAUAGCUUGACACUGAACAUUGAGCCUUGAUGUGUAGGAUAGGUGGGAGGCUUUGAAGUGUGGACGCCAGUCUGCAUGGAGCCGACCUUGAAAUACCACCCUUUAAUGUUUGAUGUUCUAACGUUGGCCCGUAAUCCGGGUUGCGGACAGUGUCUGGUGGGUAGUUUGACUGGGGCGGUCUCCUCCUAAAGAGUAACGGAGGAGCACGAAGGUUGGCUAAUCCUGGUCGGACAUCAGGAGGUUAGUGCAAUGGCAUAAGCCAGCUUGACUGCGAGCGUGACGGCGCGAGCAGGUGCGAAAGCAGGUCAUAGUGAUCCGGUGGUUCUGAAUGGAAGGGCCAUCGCUCAACGGAUAAAAGGUACUCCGGGGAUAACAGGCUGAUACCGCCCAAGAGUUCAUAUCGACGGCGGUGUUUGGCACCUCGAUGUCGGCUCAUCACAUCCUGGGGCUGAAGUAGGUCCCAAGGGUAUGGCUGUUCGCCAUUUAAAGUGGUACGCGAGCUGGGUUUAGAACGUCGUGAGACAGUUCGGUCCCUAUCUGCCGUGGGCGCUGGAGAACUGAGGGGGGCUGCUCCUAGUACGAGAGGACCGGAGUGGACGCAUCACUGGUGUUCGGGUUGUCAUGCCAAUGGCACUGCCCGGUAGCUAAAUGCGGAAGAGAUAAGUGCUGAAAGCAUCUAAGCACGAAACUUGCCCCGAGAUGAGUUCUCCCUGACCCUUUAAGGGUCCUGAAGGAACGUUGAAGACGACGACGUUGAUAGGCCGGGUGUGUAAGCGCAGCGAUGCGUUGAGCUAACCGGUACUAAUGAACCGUGAGGCUUAACCU